rnacentral:lncRNA from 1 species
CUAGCCUCCAAGACAGCCCCGCCGCCAGAACAGCCUCUCCUCCAGGACCGGCCAGCCUACGAGAGAGCCCCGCCUACGGUACAACCCGCCUCCGGGACCGCAGGACUCCACCUCCGAGACAGCUCAGUCCCCAGGACAGUCCCGCCUCCGAGACGGCCCCGCCUCCAGGACGGCCCCUACCUCCGAGACCGCCCCGCCUCCGGGACCGCCCCGCCCCGCCUCGCCUCCGACACGUCCCCCGGGCGCCACUGCAGAGCCUGUCCGUCAGUCCCUAGGUAUCCGCACUGCUCAGGGGAGGAUUCCCUGGGAGCACCCACCAGCUGAGAUCUGCACAUCAGCCACAAUCCUCUCAGGACGGCGGAAAGGGAAGGGCUCAGCCGCCAGCCUGGCCACAGCCUGCAUCAUCUCAUCCCAGAGGCGGAGCACAGGCUCGGGGUCCUUCAGGGCCUGAAGGAGGUAGAGCCCGGUACUCACCCAGCAAUCAUUGUUGCCUGACAAAAGUCACAGAGAAGGCUCAGUUCUUCCUUCCUAUGAGGAUUCCCUGGGAGCACCCACCAGCUGAGAUCUGCACAUCAGCCACAAUCCUCUCAGGACGGCGGAAAGGGAAGGGCUCAGCCGCCAGCCUGGCCACAGCCUGCAUCAUCUCAUCCCAGAGGCGGAGCACAGGCUCGGGGUCCUUCAG